rnacentral:lncRNA from 1 species
CACCCCAAACCACCGCAUCACAAGCCACCCCAUGUCAAACCACCGCACAAGCCCCCGUAUGUUCCUAAACCACCUUAUUCCCCAAGCCCUAAACCGCCUUACGUGCCAAAACCACCUCAUACUCCAGUCCCUAGGCCACCAUAUUUCCCCAAACCACCUUACACACCAAGGCCUAAGCCACCAUAUGCGCCAAAACCACCUUAUACGCCAACCCCUAAGCCACCAUAUUUCCCCAAACCACCUUACACACCAAGGCCGAAGCCACCAUAUGUGCCAAAACCACCUUAUACGCCAGCCCCUAAGCCACCAUAUUUUCCCAAACCACCUUACACACCAAGGCCUAAGCCACCAUAUGCACCAAAACCACCUUAUACGCCAACACCUAAGCCACCAUAUUUCCCCAAACCACCUUACACACCAAGGCCUAAGCCACCGUACGUGCCAAAACCACCGUACACACCAAGGCCUAAGCCACCGUACGUGCCAAAACCACCAUACACACCAACCCCUAAGCCACCGUACGUGCCAAAACCACCUUACACCCCAACCCCUAAGCCACCGUACGUGCCAAAACCACCGUAUACCCCAACUCCUAAGCCACCGUACGUCCCAUCGCCACCUUAUACCCCUCGCCCUAAACCACCGUAUGUACCAUCACCACCUUAUACCCCUAGCCCUAAACCACCGUAUGUGCCAUCACCACCAUAUACCCCAAGCCCUACCCCACCAUAUGUACCAUCACCACCGUAUACCCCAAGCCCACCAUAUGUACCAUCACCACCGUAUACCCCAAGCCCUAGCCCACCACCACCACCAAGUGGAACACCGUGUCCUCCGCCGCCGCCACCAAAGGUGAGACCGUACCCUCCACCACCAUCACAAACUUGUCCCAUUGAUACUCUCAAGCUUGGUGCAUGCGUCGACGUGUUGGGCGGUCUAAUACACAUCGGUAUAGGCAGCAGUGCAAAGGACGCUUGCUGCCCCGUGCUGCAGGGGCUACUGGACUUGGAUGCUGCAUUAUGUCUUUGCACCACCAUUAAACUUAAGCUUUUGAAUAUCAAUCUUAUUAUACCGAUCGCCCUUGAAGUGCUUAUUGACUGCGGCAAGCAUCCGCCGCCCGGAUUCCAGUGUCCUGCCUAAUUGGUGACGCUUUCCAGCCAUGCAAUUGAUGAAUGCGACUUGUUUGUUUUGGAGAUUUUGUCAAAGAUAAUGACAUGUAAGUGCAUAAAGUGGAAGUACUUCAUGAUAUCGAAGUUUGUCUUAAUAUAUGUUUUGUUCCUCUUGUGCAUAUCAAACCAAUUAUCUUUGGAGCAAAAUCUAUGUUUUGAUGGAUCCAUACUAUCUGCAAGUUUGGGAUCAUGGGGUGUCAAAUAAUCGCUUAUUUGACCCAAAUUUUAUUUGAGUUGUCCAAUUAGUUGUAACCAUCAAAUAAUUUAUUAUCACACAUAAUUUUGAGAGUAAAUUCUCAAUUGACCAUUAAAAAAAAUAAUCACAACCGACAAAUUCAAAACAGAUACUAUCAUCGUGGAAAGAAAUAUUAAUUAUGCAUUUGGAUUCUGAUAUAAGAUACGCUGAUCUUUUGAUGAUAUCCAUUUUCGCGCCUACAUAACUCAGAUUCAACCACAAUUUUAUUGUUAUCCAAUAGCUAUUAAUAAAAUAUUAUAUUAAAAAAAAAGCAUAAAACUUGACCAGCACUGAAUUUAUAUUCAUUGAUUAUAAUAAUGGAACCUUUCAUUUGAUGAAUUUAAUUGUUCAAUGAAAAAUAACUAGCUGAAACAGUUGAAGACGGGGUGAUUUCUCACCUCGAAAAGAGAGAGAAUUCCCCCAAAGUGCCGCUUGAUAGGAUUUGAUUUAAUUUAAUUUAAUUUAAUUUUAUGCCUUGCCCUUAAAUAAUGUGGAGUAGAAAUUGCUCUUAUUAUUGAUUCAAAAUCAUUAGAUAUGCAUUAUUAUAAAAACUUUAUAGUAAUUAUUCAAUGAAAGAGAAUUAUUAUUAUUAUCAUUUUCUUUCCGGACUGAUUAAUCAAUGAUUGUUUUGCAGGAAUGGAGCAUUAUAUGAAUUUCAGUCCAAUAAAAUUUAAACAGCUCUCUUUAAGAAUGAAUUUUUGUUUUAGGCUACACAAGAUAAUCACCGUAUCCCUUGAUUUAACAUGCUAGUUAUUAAUUGUACGUACACAAAAACAAAAAAAAAAUCAUGGAGUGAUUGAUUUUUCCCAAACAGUUAUACUGUAGAUCAUUAAAGAAAAUAUAAAAAAAUAAAAGUUGAAACGAGUGGCCUAAACAGUAAACUUUGGGUGAAAGUUACAGAUAAUAUUUAAUUACGAUGGAGUUUUUUUGGCCUCCUUUUUUUUUCCCCCCUUUUUUGCAUUUCUGAAACGUGUUGCCUGAUUUAACAGAGAAAAGGGAAAAUUUGAUGGUUGACACUUGGUAAUGAUUUAUAAGUAAUUUAAUCCUAAGUGUUCAGGGAGAGCAGUGACCUCUUGAAAAAUCCUCUUGUUACAAUUUUUUUUUUCAUUUUUUUCUACUCCUUUAUUUAUUUAUUUAUUUAUUUUAAAUCCUUAAUUAAUUAUAAUACAUAUAUAUUUUUUUUUUCCAAAAAAGUUUCUAUCAAAUUGAUAACAUGUAGAUACACAAUGUCAGAAGGAUUUCUAUCCUUGGUAUCAGUCAUUGUGGAACAAUUCAAAUGAAUAUACAGACAACGAGAAAGAGGUAUCAAUACCCCCUCAGAUUUCUCACAAUUACUAACACAUGCGAGGAUUGCUUUUAUUAUUAACAGUUACAAACCCCCUCUAAAUGGAGUUAGCUCUUUUCGAUAGCGGAAAGCAGUGGUAUUACCAUCGUGGUGGGGCAAAAUUUAGAAACUGUAUUUAGGAUAGACUACGAUAAAAAUAUAAAAAGACAUCAACUUUUUCAAGAAAACGGGCGACGAGCUAGUUUUGUUGGGAAUACUAUAAUUUUUAAAAUAAUUGUAAUUAGUAUUACAGUAAAAAUUAUUAGUUGUGAAGAAAAUCAAUUAAAUGUUUAAUAAAAUUUAUUUUUAAAAAUGUUAUGGGUUAUAAAAGCAGUCAUAUAUAUAUUUAGUAAAUUUAACUGUUAAACUACUGUAAGAAUAUAAAUGAUUGAAUUAGAUGUUAAGAAAAAUUUAUUUAGAUAUUUAUAAGCAUGUAUAUAUAUAUAUUAUUGUGUAUACAUAAUAAUUGAUAACUAGAAAUAAAUAUUUUAUAUUAUUAAUUUUAUUUUUAUCUUGUUAUCUCAAUAUAAUUGGUAAUAAUAAUAAUCUCUUUAAAGUUAAUGAUUUUAUUACCUAAUUAAUAAGGAUAAUUUUAGAUUUUUAUAAUUUAUAUAACGAUACAUAUGAAAUUGUAUACAAUAUAAAGUUGAUUUUCAAAAUCAAAUUUUAAAAAGCUACUCAUUUCUGACUUUUCAAGUGCAUCCGAAAAAUUGGAUAUUUGGAUCCGGUUAAAUUUUAUUUUAAAUUAAAAAUUAAAUUAAAAAUAUAUAUUAAAAUUAAAUUAAAAAUUAAAAAUUAAAAAUUAUUUGUCGAUUUAUGUUGUUGUUGUAUGCUAUUCAUGUUGAAUUAUAAUUGAAUUUUAUUUGAUAUUAUUAGGUAAAUUAUUGAAGUUUAUUUUAAAUUAAAAAUUAAAUUAAAAGUAAAUAUUAAAAGUUAAAUUGUAUUUGUAGAUCUUUAUGAUGUUGUUGUAUGUUAUUCAUGUUUAAUUAUUAAUUGUUGACUUAUGAUUGAAUUUUAUUUGACAUUAUUAGGCAAAUUAUUGAAUUUUUAAAUUAUAUGUUAAAUUAUUGAAUUAUGACUUUUGCAGAUCUAGGUAUCCAGAAUAUUUGCCCGCAUCUGUUGCGGAUAUAACCCGUAUCCGGAUUCACAUAUUUUUUUGCGGAUUCGGAUGUAGAUCCAGAUGUAUAAAUGUAAUGCAAAUACAUAUCUAGAUGCACCUACAUCAGAAUUCGGAUCCAGAUUUUGUCAACCAUAUUUCCCGCACUUUAAAAUUCUAGACCAAAAACCUACUAGUAUAUAUAGGUAAAGAUGGCCAAUGGGCCGGGCGGCACGUGGCACGGCACGGGCACGGCACGUGUCCGUACGGCACGGCACGGCACGAGCACGUUUUAGUGAGGCACGAGGCACGGCACGGCACACACGUGGGCCGUGCCGGGCCUAGAAUUUUAGGCACGCGGGCCUUAAAGCACGGCACGAUUAGAGAUGGGCCAAAGCACGGCACGCGAAAAAGCACGUAGUAAGCACGGUUCAUUGGUGGGCUAGCACGUGGCCCAUGAGCCAUUAAUAGCAUGUGGGCCAAAAUAUAUCUAAGUAAAUUUUUUUAACAAAAAGUAAAUAUAAAAUGUUAUGAAAUUAAAGUAAAAUAUCUUGAAAUUAAAUGUUUUAAUAUAUUUUUUAGCAUAGACUUUUAAAAAUUAAUUUAAAUCAUUAAAUCUUAGUUUAAAUAAAUAUUCUAAUUUUUUAUGUUUAUAAUUUAUUAAAUAAAUAAGUAAAUAUCAUGAUUUUAAUAAAUAAAAUUAUAAAUAUCAUAAAUUUAUAAAUUAUAAAUUAUAAAUAAUUUUUUUACAAAAUUAAUAAUAAAAUAUUUUUCAUAUUAAUAUUAAAUCAUAACUUAUAAGUUGUGACCUAUGAUUUGUUAUAUUAAUAUUUCGUAGUUAUGACUUAUUGUAAUGAUUAUUCGAGGAUUGUAUUUUUAAUUUUAAUUAAUUAUUAUUAUGAUCUAUGGAAUUAAAUUUAUGUAUUGUUGUGUUAUGAAUUAUGAUUGAUUAUUGUGAAAUAAAAUAUAUAGUUGUGAAAUUGUGAUAAACUAAUAAUAAAAUGUUAAUUGCUCUCUUAAUAAAAAAUAAUAUGAUUAUGAUUAUGAUUAUGAUUAUGAAUAUUAUUAUUAUUAUUAUUAUUAUUAUUAUUAUUAUUAUUAUUAUGAUGUUGGUGGGCUUAAAAAAGCACGUCAGGCAUGUGGGCUUGAAUAAAGCACAUCAAGCACGUAGGCUUUUUUAAGCACGCAAAAAAAAAAAAAAGUUGGUGGGCUUUUUUUGGGCACGGCCCACGGCACGACACGAGCACGGCACGAGCGGGCUCGUGCCGGGCUCAACUGAAAAAAAGGUAGGCACGGCACGGCACGGCACGGCCCACCAAUUUAGUGGGCCGUGCCGUGCCGGCCCAUGAGCCCUUGUGGGCCGACAGUUGGUGGCGGCACGGCCCAUUGACUAUAGUUAUAUAUAAGGAAUAAUCUUUGAGUGAUAAUUAUAGAUUAUAAAAAUGUGGGGCUUUGAUUUUUAAAAAAAUUAUAUAAGUGUUUAGUUGAAUUUUUAUUGAAAAAAAUAAUUUUAACUUGGGUUAUUUAUGUAUUUUCAAUUGAAAAGGGGUUUAUAAAUACUUUUGUGGGGGUGUUAAUAACAAUACUCCUUUUUCUUUUGGGGCGUAGGGGGUGGGCUAUAAGUAUGGGCCAUGGCGAUCUAGUAUGUCCUCAUUGGCACCCUAAAAAAAUCCUCUUAGAAAUUUCAUUUUCAAUUAUAUUCUAUUUAGUGGCAAAGAUAAUCUUUUUUUCCCCUUAAAUAGACACUCAUUUCAUUUAUAAAUAUUUCAAGUUCUAAUAAUUUUCUCACUCUUGAAGUCUUAAUAUUUGUAUUCUUCUCUUCAAACUUUCUUUAUUAUUUAAUUUCUAUAAAAAAAUCUAAAAGAAAAAGUAAGAAAAACCUUAUACUUAGAAAAAGUAAGAAAAAAGCUUAUUAUACAUAUAAGCUUUGGGUGGAGCGAUUAGUUUGAGAAUCCUCAAAAUUAUUUGAAGUGGGAUAAAAUUUUAUUUAGAAUAAUGAUAUAGUUGCAAACUCUUGUACAAACUUAUUUUAUACAAACUGAUGUGGCAUGAUAAAAUUGGUUAAAUUAAAUAUCUCUUGACCCACAUGAUUUAUUUCUAUUAUUUUAUAUUUUCAUUCAACCAAUGAAUUAAUGCCACAUCAGUUUGUGCAAGAUAAGUUUGUACAAGAAUUUGUGGCUGUAUUAUCACUCUUUUAUUUAAUUUAUUUUCCAUUAUGUUGUAUCCUAAUUUUGGUUGCUAUGUUUAUUACAAGAAUUUUGUUUUCGGUUAUAGAAUUACUGUGCAAGUAAAGUAAAUUGCAAAGAGAGGGAGAAAAUGUAAGUGGGUUAAUCUUAAUUCUAUUAAUAUUUGUCCUUAAAUAUGUAAUAUAAUAUAAACAGAGUUUUAUGAGAUUAAUAAAGGGAUACCAAUAGUCAACUGGUUAGGCGGGACCCCUACCUGUAAUAUAAAUCAUAAAAUGAAGCGAAUACACAAGGACGGGGACAUAAACCAAAACCUCCGAGAGUAACUAAAAAUACACACGAAUAACCAAAAAAGAAUAAAGACAACAAAAAUAAAAGGAAAACCAUAAAUGCCAACAUCUUAUGUGAGAAACAGUCUAUGCAUCCAAAUGGAGAAUACCAGAUAAGUUUGUAGGAAGAUCUGAAGGACAUAAGAAACACUGACUAGAUGAGACCACACCCAAUUAACCAAAAAAUUAGCAGCAGAGGUAGCCUUACGAAACAAUCAACUCUUAUAGUUUAUACAUGAGCCAACCUACUAAAUUUUUCAUUCAAUGUUAAACUCAUCUUGCCAAUUAUGCCAAUGAAACAAUCUUGGGCGUUUAUAUAAUUUCAAUAAGAGUGAUAAAAGAUUUUGAUUGCAACAAAGUAUUUAUACAUAUUGUAUUUAUAUCAAUUAAUUGAGUAACGACUCUAGCAUGGUUUGAACCCUCCUGACUCUUAUAUAUAUAUAUAAGAGUGCUGGUAUAACAAUAUUGUAUAAUAAAUAUUUAAUUAGUUUAACAUUCGUAUUUAAUAACCACCAAUAAAAGUCUUAUAUUUUGAUUAGAUAAGGUAUAAAAGGGUUGCAGUUUUUAUUUCAUAUUGUAAUGAUAGCACUUUCAAAAUACAGUGUAAAUAUAAGGAUUAGUCAUCUCCUGAUCUAAGCAUUCAUGGCCUUUUAAUAAUCUUAUUCCACAUGUCAUGUAGUAAUAGACAUAAAUUUUUAUUUAGAAGAAGUUCAGAUCAACAGAUCUUAAUCCGUGAACAUAAUAGAGAUCGAAGAGAAACUACAACUCAAAUAAGAAAAAAAAAGGCUUACAAUUUCAUUUAAUAAAUAUUAAAAAAGCCUUACAACUUCAUUUAAUAAAUAUUAAAAAAGCCUUACAACUUCAUUUAAUAAAUAUUAAAAAAGCCUUAUAACUUCAUUUAAUAAAUAUUAAAAAAGCCUUACAACUUCAUUUAAUAAAUAUUAAUUUCUACAAUAUUUAUAUUAGAUUCACGAGCAACAAGGGAUCAAUAUUGAACAAGACAUGCAAUUAUUACAUCGAGACAUGAAUGUGUCUUCAAGUAUUAUACGAACUUGAAGCUCUCACACGUUAUUGUCAUUCUUUUAUGAGAAAAUAAACGAAACUAGUAACAUAUAAAAUAUUAAUAUGGUCAAUUAAUAUAUAUAUGUAUGUAUGUAUAUUUCCCUCAGAAACUGCAUAUGCGUGGGGCGUCACCAAUUAAUUAAUGGGUGGACACUGAAAUCCUGCUGGUGGAUACUUGCCACAGUCGUUGACAAGUACUUGCAGGGAGAUGGGUACGAGAAGAUUGAUGAGAUUUGGAGCCUUAAUUCUAAUGGCAGUGCAAAGACAUAUUGCAGCAUCCAAAUCUACUAGCCCAUGAAGCAAUGGGCAGCAUUUCUCCUUAGCACUGUCGCCAAGACCAAUGUGAAUUAAACCACCAAGAACAUCGACGCAUGCACCAAGCUUGAGAGCAUUAAUGGGACAAGUUUUUUGUUGAUUUGGUGGCGGUGGGUAUCUCACGUUUGGUGGUGUUGGUGGCGAUUUUACAACUGGAGGAGGAGUUGGUUUUUCCUUUGGCGGUGGUGGUGGUUUCACAACUGGAGGAGGAGGAGUACUGGGUUUCACCUUUGGUGGUGGUGGUGGUUUUACAACUGGAGGAGGAGGAGUGGUUUUCACCUUUGGUGGGGGUGGUGGUUUUACAGCCGGAGGAGGAGGAGUUGGUUUCACUUUUGGUGGUGGGGGCGACGGCUUAGGGCUCGGCGAAUGAGGCGGUGGGGGACAAUUUGGUGAAGAAGGAGGAGGAGGGGUUGGUUUGGAGCAGUCACAAGCUAAAGAAGAGAGCAAAGCACCCGAGUUCAGGAGGACAAUCAAGAAACUAGUUAAUUGAUAUUUGCCCAUGAUGAAAUAAUUUCGAAACUCUCUAAUGAACUAGCUAGCUAGGGUUUGGAAUGCAUUCACUAUUGAAUGAGUGCCUUUUUAUAGAGAGUAGGAAGUUUGGGAUUUUUAAAAAUUUUCAGUUUUAAUUCGUUGAUCCAUAGACUUAAGGGCAAAGUACAACCCAAGCCAACUCACGAAUGGACAGAUAGACAGACAUUAUAUAUUUUUUUCUUUAAUGCUUGGAACAUGGGAUUGAUUAUCGUUUUAAGGAAGAAGAUUCGAUUGAUUAUUUAACCAACAAAUUGGUAUAGUUAAUUAAGCGUAUUGUUCUUAUAAUUUGAAACGUAAAAUUUGCAAUUAAUCUCUAGCAAAUGCAAAGCUUAAAACUCUAACUUCUGCAUUAGAAUUUCGAAGGGCGUGGGGACCUGUACUCUCAAUUUCACAUGAAUAUUUGCAAGCUGUUCAAUCAUUGAAGACGAAUGCAAGCAACAAGCAUCUUGCGGGGACACUUCUUCAUUUUUCUUUGGGCCGUUACAUGAUAACAAUAUUUAUAGUUAUAUUAUUAGCCCAUUAACUAAUCUUAAUAUUAGAUAUUUUAACCUAUUAACUAAUCUUAAUAUGAGAUAUUUUUGUUAGUAUUUUUUACUAGUCACUACAAGAAAAAUAGUAUAUGACAACAGGCAAAGAGUGUUGUAGAAGGGAUAUCACAACAAGCAUCUGAGCGUUGCGGUUCUUGAUGUAGCGAAAAGUAGGUAACUUUCGACUACGCGCAAUUCACGUUGUUGAAAAAUAUAUGAACGUUGUUAAAUAUCACAUGACAACUUACAAUGAUUGUGGUUAAAAAGAUCAUGUGCUUCCAAACUUUCGACUACAAGCCUAUGAAUGUGGCUAUAAAUUAUAUAGCAACAAGCAACUAAAUGUCGCCAUUAAUUCUAAUUUUUAUUUACAAUAAACCACAUAUCCUGCAUGUUGUCAAAAAAACAACAAUAUAUUAUUAAUAAUUAUUAUUAUCAUUAUCAUGACUACUAAUAUUAUCAUUUUUAUUACACUAUUGCUGCCGCCAUAUGUAAAAUUCAUGCGAACUAAUUCUACAAUUUGGCUUGUUAUAAUAAGUUUUCAUAAACUUAGUAAUAAGCACACAUCACAGCUAAGGGUCACACCAACAUUUUGUAUUAAUAAAAAUUCUAUUACAUAGCAAAAAUGAAAAACACCAUAUAACAAUUAAUCCAUAGAAAUUUACAACAUCAGUUUAAAUUUCAUCUAGCCAAACACCCAAAAAAUUAGUAAAAAAACACAUUAGUGGCUGUUGCAAUUCCAUAAAUAUCAACUUAAAAAAAACCAUCUCCAACGAAAGCUUCUUCAAUUUAGCAAUUGCAUCAAAAACUUGUUCAGGGCAUAUGUACACUCCAACAAAAACAUCUUCAAGGCACAAACUCCUACAAAAAGAUUAACUGAAUCAAUAUUCAUUUGUUGCAUUUGGAAUAUAAUUAUACACACACACACCCCCAAGAAGAAUAUUUUAUGCCUACAUACCUUUUUUAAAACAAUUUGAUACAACUUCCUGAUUAUUUCUCAUUUCUCUAAACUUCUUGCUUAUUGCUUGUCCAGCAAAUAUUAAAAUGUAUAAUUUUCAUAGACAUGAAACUUAACAUGGAUACUAUAAGUGCAAUGCAACGGACUAGCUUACUUUAAAUUCUGGAGACAAUUUUUACUUGACAAUAUUAGCCCAAUCUUCUUUGAAAAUUAUACUUUUUUGGCCUAAUAAGAGCAACUUGCUCUGUCAUGUACUUUUUUGGUUUCCUUUAUCUUAGUUGUUAGCUCUGAUUUGUAUUGUCUCCAACAGUCACCCAUCGUUCUUAAUGCCAAGCAUUCAAGAUAAAUAAUGCAUUUCUAAAUAAAGAUAAUUACUAUGUAAUUCCAUAAACAUGCACCAAUGGCCAAUAGUUGGCCGUCAACUAAAAGCUAAUUUUCAAUGCACACAAGCACAUGCUCUCAUGUUAUAACUCUAAUAAAAGUGCAUAUUUGUAAGAAUUUACACCUACUGGCUGGCCAUAGUCGUUAAAUUCAAUGCUUAAUGAUGGAGAACAAUCUUGAAUCAUUCCAAGUUUGGUUGGACCUCUUUUGUCUUUUGGUGCAUCUAUCGUCAGAUUGAGGUUUGUGUGCAUUUUCCCUAUUGCUAGUUGCUAAUGAUCCAUUCUCCUCUUGAAUAGUUGCAUUUUCUCUAAAUUUAUCUCGACUUGCCUAGAAGACUUUGUAACACAUAGCAAAAUUAAUGUAGGAAUAAACAUACUAGAAAAAAGUAUAUGAACAUGAAAAAGUAUAAUUUAAAGUUGAACCAAAAAAAAAAAAUUCUUACUUAUACUAAACAAAAUGUAAUCACUCUCACUAGCCAAUAAUAAAUCUUGGAACCCUCUUUGUGGUUUUUUCAAUACUAAAUACUAAUUUGAUUUUUCAUUAUCCUUAUAAUAAAUCUAAAUUGGCUUUGUCCCUCGUGAAGGUUAACCAAAGUGAAUCCUUCGUCAACUUUAACACCAUUAACUAUAUUAGUUCAGUCACAUUUGAAAAUAGGGAACUAAAAGUAUUGUAAUCAAGCACUAAUAUAUCUCUCAAAACUCCAUAGUAAGUAACUUUUCCAAAAGAGAAAUCCAUUUUGAAUUUUAAUUAUACAAGGGGGAAACAGUACCUCAAGUUUGCUCUAUAAUCAGAUCCUAAAAUGUCACAGCUGAUUCCAGAGAUUAAUGGCAUUAACAGAAGUAACUUAUCUGUUUCAUAAAGUCAACAACGCCAAUAAGAGAUUAAAAUUGUGCCUUUCAAUUGAAAAAAAAAAUCAUUAUCCAUCUCACUAGUAAUAUUUACUCAUUUAAAUUAUUUUUACUGAAAUCAGUUUAUCUUGAAAAUAAAAUAUAAUCUUCAAAAUUAUCUUUUCCAUGUAAAAUAUUUAGCUUCAGGCAUUUCAAAAGAAAAUAAUCUUUUGGUUUCAAUCACCCACCACAAAAAAAGUAACAUUUAUUUUAUUCAUGCAUAACAGAUGAACCCCACAAGCAAUAAAGAAUUGUGCCGCUUACCAAACAAUUAAUGAAUCUACAAUGGGACGAUGUCGAGCGAUUUUGAGUGAGAAGAAGUAUAGGGUGAAGACCCAAAUCUUCUAAAAACAAAAUAGGUGGAAAGAGUAAAUUAUUAAUUAAAUGGAAUUAGGGAAGUGAAAGUGAGCUUUAUCAAUGAAAUUGAAAAGAAGAAUACCUGAUACACUCAUUUCCUUGGGUGGGCAGCCGCCAUUACGAUGAAGAUUGAGAGGCUUGCUUUGCUUUAGUGGCAGAGAAAGAGUAAAGUGGUACUGCAAAGAGAACCGAGGGUUUCACUAAAUCAAUUUGUCUCUUUUUUUCCCCCCUUUUUUACCGCGCUUUAACCCAUACGCACAAAAUGAAAAUUUUUAUUUAUUACACAUUAUUUUCUAUUACUUUACUUUUAAAAAAUAUUGUAGUUAAUGAUACCCUCAAAAAAUUUAUUUGUUAUAAUACUUUUAUGCAUAAAUUCCAUGAGCACCUAUUUAUGUUUUAAUUUUCACCAAUUUCAUAUUAAAUUGAGUUAACAAAGAAUUUUACAAAAAAAAAAUAUUUUCAACAACAUGCAACAUAUAAACGUUCUUAUUUAAAUAAUAAUUUUUGCAACAGGUAAUUCAUUGUUGCCUUAAAUAANNNNNNNNNNNNNNNNNNNNNNNNNNNNNNNNNNNNNNNNNNNNNNNNNNNNNNNNNNNNNNNNNNNNNNNNNNNNNNNNNNNNNNNNNNNNNNNNNNNNCGCUCGUUGUCGUAGGUUUUAGACCACAGUCACUUUUUGCAUGUUGCUAAAACUUUAUAUUUACCAACAUGCAGUUUAUGACUGUUGUUAAUUAUAAAUUUGACAACAUUUCAUCUGUGCACGUUGUUAAAAUGAUGUUGCCUUAUCCCAAUUUUCUUGUAGUGAGUCCUUGUCAUGUAUAAAAUAGACCCACUAGUACACAAGUAAGAGUCUAUCUCAUGUAAAAAUUAGCUCAAGAGUUGAGAGUUGUCUCAAGUUUAUAUUUAAUUCAAUAAGUUUUCUCAACCUAUCUGAGAUUUUUUCCUUAUCAUCCCCAUCACUUGCAAACCAAUAUAUCUUUUUUUUUUUUUUUGGUCUUUAUCAUGCGGAAAAAUACAUAGUAUGUGCCAACUUGUGCAUAACUAUGAAUCUAAUACCAUAUAAAGGUAUGCGAGUCUAAUUCAUACUCUAAAAUUAGCUCAAGAGUUAAGGAUUGCCUCUAAUUUAUAUUACUAGUUCAGUAACUAAUCUCAGCAUAUGGUGGCUCCACUAGAGGAAAGUGUUUUGCACAUAUAUACAUAAAUUCUAAUGAGUAAAAUUAUUCAUGAUGAUACAACCACAUUAAUGGAUAAUCAGUAGUAAUUGAACCAUGAAAGUGUCAUUCUUCGUUUAAGGGUGCCUUUGACAUAUUGUUUGCACAAAAAAAAAAAAAAAAGCGCUAAAAAAAGCCCCAAUUAAGGAUGUCCAUUGUACCCACAUAUGUAAGCAUAUGUGAGUUCUGAAACUCUUCAAAAAGAUAAAUUUAUAUUAUUCGGAGUAUAAAUUUAUCUUGGAGAGUUUGGAGCAGAUUUGAUUUGUGUUUUCGUAAAAUUUAAUAUUCAAACAACUACUACUUCUUUAAAAGAAUAAAUAAACAAAUAAAUAAGGUGAAUAAUUUUUGUUGAAUUAGCGUGGUGAUUAAUUAUAGCGAUAUUGAAAUUUUAAUGCAUGAUCUUCUAAGAUUUGUUUUAGUUUUGAGAUUUCAGAUCAUAGUUGUUUGAUUUAUAUUUUAUUAUUUUGUGUUUUCAAAUCUUCGUGUGAAAAUGUCAACUACGCUUGCGCAAAUCUUGCUUUGUCCAUCUUUAAAAGAUCUGAAGAAGCUUCGAUUGCUCCCAAACUUUUAGAAAGAAUUCAAAAAUAUUAAUGUAUACCGCAUGAUAUGCUCUCACUGUUUAGAAAAAAAAUGUACUGCCAGAGUUUAUUUUUAAAUAUUCUCAAACUGCAUUCUGUUUUCUUACUAUAUUUUGGGAAAAUCAGUAUAAUUGAGAUGCGAAUAAGGUCGACAAUUAUACUAUUAAAAUGCAAUACAUGUGUUAUUUACGCAUUGCUUAUCUAAAUAGUUUGUUUUAUUUGCGCAUUGUUUAUAUAUAUAUAUAUAUUUAUCUAUAGUGUAUAACGAGGAUUCCCAAUCUUUUAAAUAUAAUAAAUAUGAAAAAUCGUUCUUCGUUUCUUGCAUGGCCAUUUUAAUAAAGCAGGUUAAGUUAACGUGAAGUUAUAUUUUUGAUCAUUCUGCCAUCUGAAGUAAGACCACAAAGUCGUGACUAUUGUGUAAAAGAAAAGUGAAAACAGAUCAAAGGUGAACAGUUUGACCUAUAAUUUCUCUGUUAACAAAACUAUAAUUAUUUUUUAUCGAACCCAAAAAAAGUAAAAAAAAAAAAAAAGUGUCCAAUAAGCAUUUAGCCUCAAUAAUUGCAUGCAUGCACAGAUAAUGUUCAUGAAAAAUCGACAGUGUUGAUGCAAGAAUUUUCGUGCACCAGCAGGAAGGCCGAAUAACCUUGGUGGUGAGGAUCCUGGGUAAAAUACCGGAGAUGGAAAAUGCGGUUGCUAGCUUUUGAAUUGCUUUCAUAGAUACGAAAUAUAUCCAAUGAUACAGUAAAGAAAUAACAUAUGAUAGUAACAAACCAAUUAGCUAGAUCUCUUCUUUUUAAGCUGACCUUGGUCUUUGUCACCUUGAUGAUAAGAUCCUUCGUGGUAGAAAUAGUAAAGAACAGGUGAGGAUCUCCUCAUGAAGCUAUUUCGAAGUCAAUAAGUAAUGGUGAGGUCAGCAAGAACCUUCUCUCUUAAUUAGUUGGUCUUCCCUCUCUCCUCGAUCAUCUCUUCAAUUAUAUGGGUGCUAUCUCCACGAGUUAAAAGACUUAUUUGUGUUCUUGUUUGUAGAGAAAGUAGAAUAUUCCUGUGUUACGUUCCUCAUUCUUAAUCCACCAUAGUUCUUCUGUUGGACAUUUGUUCUAUUUUCGUUAGUUGUGAUUCCUCAUCCUUAAUCCAUAACUCUUCUAUUGGACACAUGUUCUCCUUUCGUUAGUUGUUGAGAUUUCUUAAUGAAAUUUUACUAUAAGAAAAAAAAAAUAGUAAGUAGAGAUUAAUAAAAUCACCUUAAGUACUUUUUUGAGAUAAAAGUCACCUCAAGUACUUUAGAAAUGAUUAACUUAGUUUUUAAGUUAUUUUCAUAUUUAGAUAUUGAGCAUGCUGUCGUAUAUUUUAUUUUAUUUUUUAUAUCAACAUGGUGGCAUUUUUUUUUUCUUUUUUUUUUUUUGGUAUAACAGAUAAUAUAUGUGCCCUCGCACCUCGCUCUUUGAAAUUCUAAUGCAUCGGAUACAAGGUAAUUCAUAUCAAAAAGACAAUUUUAAUAAGAUAAUCUUCGAAUACUCUCAUUGAUGAUGUGAACCCUUACCCGCAGCCUCUGCAGUAAAGCCUUCACUAGCUGGCUAAGCCUUUAAUUAGUAAUGACACAUUAAUAAUAUGAUCAAUCGACCAUUGAUCUUCUUGGUAUCACAAUGAAUCCCAUGUUUCAAGCAUGCAAUGAAAGAAAAAGGUAAAUGUCUGCUUAUCUGCCCAUUUGUGAGUUUGCUUGGAUUUUCUUUCAAGCCCUCGAGUCAAUGAAGCAAUUAAAAUUAACGAAAAAGUAAAACGACCCAAAUUCAUAACUCUCCCUACAAAAUGGUAUCCAUUCAGUAGUGGAUGCACUCCAAACCAGCCAGUUCAUCAGGGAGAUUUGAAAUUAUUUCAUCAUGAGCAAACAUCAAUUAACUAGUUUCUUGAUUGUCCUCUUGAACUUGGGCACUUUGGUCCCUUCUCUAGCUUAUGACUACUCAUAUAAUCCUCCUCCUCCUCUUCCUUCACCAAGCUGUCCCCCACCGCCUCAGUCGCCGAGCCCUAAGCCGCCGCCGCCACCACCAAUUGUUUACCCAACUCCUUGUCCCCCAGUUACAAAACCACCACCCACGCCAGAGGUGAAACCCACUCCUCCUCUUCCAGUUGUAAAACCACCACCACCACCAAAACAACAAACUUGUCCAAUUGAUGCUCUCAAGCUUGGUGCAUGCGUCGAUGUCCUUGAAGGUUUAAUUCACACUGGUCUUGCUCGCGACGUUAAGAAGAAAUGCUGCCCAUUGCUUGACGGGCUAGCAGACUUGGAUGCUGCAAUAUGUCUUUGCACUGCCAUUAGAAUUAAGGCUCUAAACCUCAUCGAUAUCCUCGCACCCCUCUCUUUGCAUGUACUUGUCACCGACUGCGGCAAACAUCCGCCAGUAGGAUUUCAGUGUCCUACCAAUUAAUUGGUGACGCCCCAUGCAUACCAUGCAGUUUGCGUGAAAAGGAGAUCUUAAUCGAUCAUAUUAAUGAUUGCAUGUUACUAUUUUCGUUUAUUUUCUCAUAAAAAAAUAAUAAUAAUAACGUGUGGGAGCUUCAAGUUAGUAGUACUUGGAAGGCAUGCACGUGCGUGUGUGCGUAUGCCUUAUCCAUCAGUGAUAUCGCUUAUCAGUUGUAAAACCAAUAUUGUAUGUUGUGCAAUCCAAAUAAGAAAAAAAAAAUGAAUGUUGUGGAAUAAAUAUUAUUUACUGACAAAUUGUUUGGCAUUUAUUUUAGGGAGAGUGACAUUUUAUUUCUUCUUAAAAUUUAUUUCUAACACUUUUAACUUUUAAUAUAUGUUUAAUACACCAUUUUAUUCAGAUGUUUGAACAUUACUAACAAAAUACAGUUUUGAACGGUAAAAUUUAUAUUUCAAUAAAUAACUUAACUAAUUUUUAAUCUGCAGAGGUUUGGGCUAGCCAAUUUGGACAUGAGAAUGUCACCUUUAUUCUUCAACCUGUAUUUUUCCUAUUGUCGUUUUAACUCCAAAGAUGAAAUGAGAUAAAGAAAAAAAAAAAAGCUACUAGGGACUAAAUAGGUAAAUAGAAAGUUUAGGAGAGAUUAAAAUACUAUUCUUCUUUUAGUUUCUAUAUUUUAAGUUAAGUAUUUAUUUAGUCCCUAUUUUUAAAAAGUAUCUCAAGACAAUCAUGUUGCAAAACAUGUUACACUCCUAUCCUUUCUUUAUUUUUUAUUUUACAAUAAUACAUUUGCAAUAAUAUUCUUGAAGAUAUUAAUAAAUAGGAAAAAAAAUAGAAACUUAUCAAAUUAACCUUAAAAGUAAUAUAAAAAAUUACACAAAUUUUUAUAUUAUUAUUUUACGUUUAGGAUUAAUUUAAUAAAUUCAUUUUUUAUAAAAUAAUUAUUCAUAAGAUUGUUGUAAGGUUAUUAAAAAAUUUUUAAUUGACUGAUAUUAAUUUGUUUAUAAAUCAUUAUUAGUAAAAUUGUUGCACGGUACAAAAAAUACUAUUUCUUUCACAUAGAUAUUUAUUGGUUAAUUUACUAAUAAAUGAUGAAUAAUUAAUUUACCAAUUAACUUUUUUAUAGAUAAAUUAAUUAAUGUCAAGAAUAUUGUUGGAAGGGCUAAAUAGAAAGAAAAACUAAGGGUAAGAAUGUAACGUAUUUAACUACAAGAGUGUUUUGAAGUAUUAUAUGGGUGCUAAAAGACUUAUUUGUGUUAUUUCCACGAGUUAAAAGACUUAUUUGUGUUCUUGUUUGUAGAGAAAGUAGAAUAUUUAUGUGUUAUGUUUCUCAUUCUUAAUCCAUAACUCUUCUGUUGGACAUGUGUCCUAUUUUCGUUGGCUGUUGAUUUCUCAUCAUUAAUCCAUAACUCUUCUAUUGGACAUGUGUCCUACUUUCGUUAGUUGUUGAGAUUUCUUGAUGAAAUUUUGCUAUGAGGAAAAAGAUAAAAUAGUAAGUAAAGAUUAAUAAAAUCACCUCAAGUAUUUUUUUGAGAUAAAGGUCAGCUCAUGCGCUUUAGAAAUGAUCAACUUAGUUUUUAAGCUAUUUUCAUAUUUAGAUAUUGAGAAUGUUGUCGUAUAUUCUAUUUUUUUAUAUCCACAUGGUGGCAUUUUUUUUUUCUUUUUUUUUUGGGUAUAACAGAUAAUAUAUGUGCCCUCGCCCCUCGCUCUUUGAAAUUCUAAUGCAUCGGAUACAAGGUAAUUCAUAUCAAAAAGACAAUUUUAAUAAGAUAAUCUUCGAAUACUCUCAUUGAUGAUGUGAACCCUUACCCGCAGCCUCUGCAGUAAAGCCUUCACUAGCUGGCUAAGCCUUUAAUUAGUAAUGACACAUUAAUAAUAUGAUCAAUCGACCAUUGAUCUUCUUGGUAUCACAAUGAAUCCCAUGUUUCAAGCAUGCAAUGAAAGAAAAAGGUAAAUGUCUGUUUAUCUGCCCAUUUGUGAGUUUGCUUGGAUUUUCCUUUAAGCCCUCGAGUCAAUGAAGCAAUAAAAAAUCAUUAAAAAGUAAAACGACCCAAAUACAAAACUCUCUCUAUAAAAAGGCACCCAUUCAGUAGUGAAUGCACUCCAAACCAGCCAGUUCGUUAGGGAGUUUUUGAAAUUAUUUCAUCAUGAGCAAAUAUCAAUUAACUAGUUUCUUGAUUGUCCUCUUGAACUUGGGCACUUUGGUCUCUUCUCUAGCUAAUGACCACUCAUAUAAUCCUCCUCCUCCUCCCCCCGUUACAAAACCACCACCCCCCCCAAAGGUGAAACCCACUCCUCCUCCUCCGGUUUUAAAACCACCACCGCCGGCGCCGCCAAAGCUGAAACCUCCUCCUCCUCCUCUAGUUGUAAAACCACCACCGCCGGGGCCGCCAAAGGUGAAACCUCCUCCUCCUCCUCCAGUUGUAAAACCACCGUCGCCACCGCCGCCAAAGGUGAAACCUCCUCCUCCUCCUCCGCUUGUAAAACCGCCGCCGCCAAAGGUGAAACCUCCUCCUCCUCCAGUUGUAAAACCGCCGCCGCCGCCACCGCCAAAGGUGAAACCUCUUCCUCCUCCUCCAGUUGUAAAACCACCACCACCGCCGCCAAAGGUGAAACCUCCUCCUCCCUCUCCAGUUGUAAAACCACCACCACCACCAAAUGUGGGAUACCCACCGCCACCAACACAACAAACUUGUCCAAUUAAUGCUCUCAAGCUUGGUGCAUGCGUCGAUGUUCUUGGUGGUUUAAUUCACAUUGGUCUUGGCGACGGUGCUAAGGAGAAAUGUUGCCCAUUGCUUUAUGGGCUAGCUGACUUGGAUGCUGCAAUAUGUCUUUGCACUGCCAUUAAAAUUAAGGCUCUGAGUCUCAUCGAUGUUCUCGUACCCAUCUCUUUGCAAGUACUUGUCAGCGACUGUGGCAAACAUCCGCCGGCCAGAUUUCAGUGUCCUAUCAAUUAAUUGUUGACGCCCCAUGCAUAUCAUGCAGUCUACGUGAAAAGGAGAUCUUAAUAGAUCGUAUUAAUAAUUGCAUGUUACUAGUUUCGUUUAAUUUCUCAUAAAAAAAAUGAUAAUAAUAACGUGUGAGAGCUUCAAGUUAGUAGUACUUGAAGACACGUGCUUGUGUCCGUUUGUCUUAUUCAACAAUGAUAUCGCUUAUUAAUUGUGACACCAAUAUUGUAUUUUGUGCAAUCCAAAAAAGAAAAAAAAUGAAAAAUGAAUGUUGUGGAAUAAAUAUUAUUUAUUGAUAAAUUGUUGGCAUUUUUUUUUUAGGGAGAGUGACAUUUUAUUUCCUCUUAAAAUUUAUUUUUACCAGUUUAGUUUUUAGUAGAUGUUUAAAACCCUAUUUCAUUCUGAUGUUUGAACAGUUAUUAAAAAAAAUACACUUUUGAAAGGUAAAAGUUACAUUUUAAUAAAUAAUUUAACUAAUUUUAAUUUGCAGAGGUUUGGGCUAGCCAAUUAGGACAUGAAAAUGUCACCUUUAUUCUUCAGCAAUGUAUUUUUUUCUAUUAUCAUUUUAACUCCAACGAGGAAAGGUGAUAAUAAUAAAAAAAAAAUUUAGCUACUAGGGAGUAGGAAUUUAACAGGUAAAGAGAAAGUUUAGAAAGGAUUAAAAUUUUAUUCUCCUUAUAUUUUCCAUAUUUUGAGUUAAGUGUUCUUCUAGUCCUUAUAUUUAAAAACUAUCUCAAGACACCUUGUUAAUUAUUAUGUUACUCUCUUAUUCUUAAUUUUUCUAUUCUUUUACAAUAAUAUCAUUGUCAUAAUAUUCCCGAGGAUGUAAUAAUAUCCUUGAGGAUAUGAAUAAAUAGAAAAAGUAAUAAUUUAUCAAAUUAACCAUAUUAUUAUUUUACUUUUAGGAUUAAUUUACUAAAUUCAUUUUUUGUAAGACAAUUAUUCAUAAGAUUGUUGUAAAGAUAUUAAAAAUUAUUCUAAUAGGCUAACAUUAAUUGUUAUAAAUCAUUAUUAAUAAAUUUAUUGCACAAGUACAAAAAAUACUACUUUUUUCACACUGAUAUUUAUUGGUUAAUUUACUAAUAAAUAACUAAUAGUUAAUUUUGUUAGCCUAAAAGGGUCACACAUAUUGUAAUUUUGAUGAUAACAAACAUGUGUCUUAAGUGAUUUGAAAAAUAUUGUAUUUCACAUUUUGACUAGUUCUUGAAAGAUAAUAUUUAUAAGGAAGUGAGUCACGUGAAAUCAAGUUUAAGACACUCAACGGAAAACGGCGUGAUCAAUAAUAAAGUUUAAAGCUUAACAGACUCAUUAUUGCAACAAUUCUUGUAAAGCCGGUAUGAUUUAAUAUAUGUAUGGCUUAGUAUUUGAGAAACUCAAGAUUUUUAAUAAAUCAUCAUUUUUCAUAAACCAAAGGUUUUACAAUUAUAAGCCAAGUAUUUUAUGAAGUUAGUUAUUUUUCAAGAUGUGGACUAAAAUGAAAAAGUUUUGUAAUCUUUGAUUUUAAUAAGUGUUGUUUUGAAUUUUGGAGUUGGACUUAUUUGUAAAUAUUUGAAACGUUUUGAGCCAUACUAUAAUUUAUAAACGUAUGAGGGCCUGAGUGUAGAUAUCCUAAAUAGACAAAAAGUUAGCGGCUAACGGCCUGCGGACUAGCGGCUAGCCGCUUGAGGAAAACUUCACAUUUUCAAAUUUUGGACUAAAAUGAAAAAAAAGUUUUGAAAACUUUGAAAUUUAUAAGUAUUAUGUUAAAUUUUGAAAAGGACUGUUUUGAAAAUUAUUAUCAUGUAUUGGGUCAUAUCACAAUUUUAAAAAGUUUUGGAAAUAACAAGUAUUAUUUAGAAAUUAUGAGAUUGGACCGUUUGUAAAGUUCUAUGACGUUUUGGGCCAUAGUAUAAUAAUUGUAGCAAAAUUCAAAUUUAAUGGUAACUUUACUGUUCUGAAGCGGGGAGCCAGAUAAAUUAAGCGGCUAACCACUUGGUUGCUGGAAUUUACCUAUAACGGCUAGUUUUUGGGUUUUUGCUAUAAAAAAUCAACUGAAACUUCAAUUUCAAAACUCUUGCAAGCAUAAACAAGUGUAAACAACAUAUUUGGAGCUUCCAAAUUCGAAAAUCAUCAUAGAUUAAAUCUUCAUUGAGAUAUCAUUUGUUCAUCUACUCUAAAAGAGAGUUCUUUGUUGUAAUCUUUAUUUUCUUAUCAAAAUUGUGAGUGUAUAAGUGUGAGAAAUACUUGAGUGAAGAGAUUGAGAGAUAAUCUCUUGGUUGCAAAGAUUUAUUGACACCUUAUAAGUCAAUUGUAAAGAACUUGAAGUCAUGGGAAGCUUGGAUAAUGAAAUCAUCGAGCUUGGUUGGCUUGAAGGUGUGGACGUAGGCGGGGAUUGCCAAACCACGUAAAAAUUGUUGUGUUUGCUCUCUCUUCCCUUUACUAUUUUAUUAUUGUGCUUUAUUGAAAUUAUUGUUUUUUAUUUGAUUAAUGCAAUAGAUUAAAUUGUCGUGCGACAUAUUUAGUGUAAGUUUUAAAAUCUCAAUUCAACCCCUUCUUGGGUUGCAUAACUUGCAUUUCAAAUUUACCAAUUAACUUUUUUUAUAGAUAAAUUAAUUAAUGUCAAGAAUAUUGUUGGAAGGGUUAGAUAAAAAGAAAAAGUAAGGGUAAGAAUGUAACAUAUUUAACUAUAGGAGCGUUUGAGGUACUUUUUAAAAUAUAACGGCUAAAUUGGCACUUAAAUCAAAAUAUAGAGAUUAAAUGAGUAUUUAAACAUCAUUAUUAAUUCUUUCUUUUUCUUGGUUUUUCUUAUUUUUAUUCCCUGUUGCUGCUGAGGUUCAUUUGAAAAAUAGUUAUAUUAAUUUUUUUUUUCGAAGAAUAUCUAAGCCUAAUUUGAUAACAAUAUCUAUUUCAUCUGCGACAUUAAGAUGUAAAAGAAAGCACAUUUUUUAAAUUUUUUAUGGCCUUAAUAUCAAUCUAAUGUGAUGUGUAUAUCAGAAGGUAGAGAUAAUUAUUCAUUUAAAGAUUGCCAAUAUUUAUUUAAUAAUAAUAAUUUCCUUUAUUGCAUGGCCAAUUUAAAAUAAGAGAUCAUAUGACUAGUAUGUGAAAAAGAAAGAAACGACUAAAACACAUUAAUAGACAACAAUUCCAUAAAAAAAUUAUACUUGGGGUGAAAAGGAAAAUUAACUCUAAAAAAAAAUAAAAACUAAUCAAUAAUAAUAACAUAAUAAAAAAUUUAUUUGUACAAACAAAUGUGACAUAACAAUAUUCUUUGAAUGAAAACAUAAAUAAAUAAAUAAAUAAAAAUCAUGUGAGUUAAGUGGCAUUUUUAUUCAACCAAUGCUGAAUGCUAUAUUAAUUUGUACCUUGUACAAGAUAAUUUAUAAAAGAAGCUUGCAACUCUGUCAUCGCUGAAAAAGAAUUAUAUAUGUGUGCUUGAAUUUAAGAUGCUCAUGCAAUCGUUUGGAAAGAGGUUCUCCAACGGAGAUAUCAAAGUUGCUCACUCAUGAUAUGUUCAUGGGUCUCCCACGCUCUUUUUUUUUUUUAAUGGUUUCUCUCCUGUAAUUUUAGUUGCAUUUGCUUCCUUUUUUUUAAUAUUAUGGUUUUUUUUACGAUAUUGAAUCUUUUUCUUUUAGAGAUAAGAUUCAUUAUGUCUUUAGGUUAAGAUUCAAUGCUCAAGUGAACUUGUUCGCAUUCUAAUUCUGAGCUAAUUUGAUUUACUUUAGUUUUUUAAUUUUAUAUUAAUGAAUUCUCUCGCCUUGUGGAAAUUCGAUCCCUUUUUAAAAUAAAAAUGCCAUAAUGUUGAUAUAUUUCAGAGUCAAAGAUUAAUUUCUUCAUUUCAAUUUUUCUCGAAGUCAGUCACUUUGGCCUUACUCUGCCACGAUAUGUUCUUGACUUUCAAAAGGUGGCACCACGGUCAUCGUUAAAGAAAAUAUUUACAAAUAAUAGUGAUGAAAAUAGACAAUGCACUCAAUUUUCUCUGAAUUAAGCAAAAAAUCAAUAAAAUGUCUAUGAAAUUCCUCCUUCCGCCAAAAUUUAUGAAAAAAGAAAAUGACCCAUUCAUUUUAUUUUGUACAUUUGUGCAAAUUGCCCCUCUGGGAAAAGAUGUUUGAGUAUUGCUGAAUACCUGUAAAUUAAAAAAACGAAAAUAUCUGUGCAGAGUUUGUUACCUUUUAUGGUUUAUAAUAACAGAAAAUUUUGAACCCCAUAUUUGAGAAGAUUUUAGCAUGCUUUCUCAAUCAUGGGCAAAACAAAGCACUACAUGUUAAUAAUAUAAUGCCUCAAUUAUCAAAACCGUGUUUUCUUGAUUCUCUUUAUCCUCCAAACUUUGAAAAGAUUAUCUCCUAAUCCUUGCUGACAGGAACCCAAUGCCAUGUGGUAAGUUUUGGUGACUGUAUGUAUGAUUAUUCUACAAUGAAGAUAAAUUAACCACAAAAACUAACUACUUCUUCUCCCAGCCCUAAACCACCAUCUGACGAACCGAAACCUUAUAGAAAGUGGAAAAUUUGUGAAAAAAAGAUAAAAGAAAAAUAUUUUACAGCUAUAUUUAGGAUUCCCUAAAGUUUUUAGUGAUAGAAACCCAAGCGAUGUGUAAUUUCAAUCUAUUUUAUGAGGAUGCAAGCCUUUAUUAUAAAAUAUUAUAAAAUAAUUAAAAAUUAAGAUUCCCUCACAAUCUUAAACUUCUAAACUAAAUUCAAAUGUGUGAUAGAUUGUUAAUAAAUAAAAGUAUAAAAGAUCUUUUAAAGUUCAAAGUGGCUUAAAUCACCAGAAAAUCUAAUCUCGAAAAUUAUUAAAUGAUUCAAAAAAUAUCUCAUAUUACCUAAAAAUAGUUAGUUAUUAGACUAUGAAAACAAGCUUACGGCAACCCUUAAUUAAACUUCUGUGCCUUUCAAUGAAAACAAGAAAAAUUUGAAGUUUAAAUUAGAGUUUCUAAAAAUUAUAUUAAAAAACUAUUAAAGUUUCAUAGUAGUGCUAGGAAAUAACUUCAAAUGCUAUUUUGAAAUCCAUAAGAGAGGAAUUGGCAAAAAUAUAACUGUUCUUAUAGUCUAAGGGUGUGUUUGACACAUUGUAUUGUAUUAUGUUGUAUUGCAUUAUUUUAAUGCUGGUGUAUUGUAUUAUGAUGUAUUGCAUUAGCACUGUAUUAUAAUAAUGUUGUACAAUAUUUGAUGCUACACUUUAUUAUAUUAAUGUUUUUGUGAUUAACUUAAAUUAUAUAUUUAGAAAAUAAAAUUUAUUAGUACCUAGAAAAAUAUAAAAUAUAGAAGUCUUAAAUUUUAGAAAUUUAACAUUAUUUUUUAGUAUAAAUAUUAAAAAAACAUUUUUUUUCAUAAAGAUUGAAGCUUAUAGCCUUAUAAUCGACAACAUAACAUUUAUUUUAAAUUAAUAUUAUUUAAAUUUAUUCAUAUAUAAAUAUUUUUAUUAGUUAUAUUAAAAUUUUCUAUAUUAAUUACUAUAAUAUAAUUAAAUAAUGUAAUAUCAAGCUAUAUUCUUAUUUUUAUAUAUUAUUUAAGUACUUAUUAAUCAAUUUGAUAUAUUAAUUAUUAUAUAAUUAAAUAAUACAUUAUUUAGUAAUAUUUUUAAUAUAAUAAAAAUUAAAAUAUGAAUAACAAUUUAUUAAUUUAUAUGAAUAAUUAUGAUAUAAAACUAAAGAAAAUAAAAAUUUAUAUUAUAUUUAAAAGUUAUAUUAUUUAUUAUUAUUAAAAAAACAAAAGCAAAAGUAAAAAAAAAAAAAAAGAGGCAGCAAAUGCAAAAGCACAAAAGCUAAUGCGCCAGUUUCCCGACUCCCAGUCGGGUUUAGCUAAUGCGGCAGUUUCCCGCAUUAGCAUACCCCUUAAUCCCUUGUAAAAUUUUGCCAACAUGAUAUUGGUAUUAAGCUAAUGUGAACAGUAUUUUAAUACACUAUAAUACCAUGCACCAAACACAGCCUAAGAAUAUUAGUUGGGACAUAAAUAAUGUAACGUCUAACAUUGAAAGUUUAAAUGAAGAAAUAUUUGACAAAAAUUAGCUUAUCAUCAGCAUUAAAAGUGUGAAUCUUAAACUAAAUUAAUGCACGGAUAAUGUUGCCUUUCAGCAUUAAUCACAAAUGCUUUACAGUCCUCCUAAUAAGAUUAUGAAAAAAUUGGCUCUUAGUUAGCACUCCGGCCAAAGUCAGCAUCCAUGUCAUCGGAGUCCCAUCUUCCAUUUCCUCAUCUUCAUGAUCCGCCGCUUGAAACUGUAUAUCAGAUAAUCUUUCCUGACGCUGGACGCAUGUUGCUUGCUGUGACUUUGAUAGAUUAUUAAGAAGCUGAUGCAGCGGAAGUUUAAUGUUCAAAAUAUUCCGUUGAUUCUAGAGAAUACAGGAACAAAAGAACAACUAAAUUCACGUUGAUUCAAAAGAAUACCGCGAAUUUAGGGAUUAAGACUCGUUGAUUCCGCAGAAUACCGAGAAUUAAUUGUUCAAAUACUCACAAAGAGAUUUGAAAAUUGAAAUAUUAUUAAUCUCAAAAUUCUCUCCUCAAAAGCUACAAAAGACACUUAUUUAUACUAAGUAAGACUUAUCCUAAUAUGAUUAGAAAACCUAUUUUAAUAAGACUUAUGCCUAAAUUAGGAAUAUUACUCAAAUAAGCAAUACCUAAACAAUAAGACUCUAAAUAGGAAACCAAAUUAAACUAGAAUACAAAUUAAUUAAAAUAUUCCUAAAUAUUAUACAUUUAAAUAUAAUUAGGAUUUCUUGAAUUUCAUGCUCUGCAUCAUUCCCGCCAGGUUGGAGAAAAUUCGUCCUCGAAUUUUGUAUGUUGUAGUCUUCAAGAACAUCUUCAUGUGCAUAAGGAUUAAUUUUUAAAACAGAGCUUUGACAUAGACGACAAACUUUAAAUUUUCCAACUUUUGUAAUAAUGUCCAUCCAAUCACUCCAAUGGCGUAAAAUAAAUUCUUCUAUCAACAACUUCUCCAAUAAUGUCUUCUCGUAUUGUUCGUGUCGAACUUCAACAUAGUUGAGGAAAAACGAUUUCUUCUCAUAAUCCACUAACUGUUGAAAAAUAUCACAACUCUUUUUGUCUUCUUUCAGCAAAUCAAGAGAACAAUAAGAGAUUGUAUCAACAACUAUCUCUCUCUCCUCCACAAGAUCAAAAGAUGGAUGAACAAUUACCUCUUCUUGUCCCACAAUAUCAAGAUACUCAUCAAAUUUUGGCGAUUGAUCCAAAUCAAUGUCUUUGUGUUGAGGAUUUGUUGUAGACAUGAAUGGCCAAUUAAUAUUCUCCUCGGAAGGAAUAAUACUAUCGAAAGGAACAAAGUUACUAUUUUCCUCAUUAUCUUCAUAACAACCAUCAUCGUGAACAACGUCAUCAAAUCCAUAUGCAUGCUUUAUGUGUAAAGAUUUUCUAUCUCGAAUUUUCUCUAAAUCUUGAGAAAUUGAAUGGAAAAUCCUCAACAUCUUAACUAAAACAUCUCUCAAGAUGAAAUCUUCACGUCGAUGUUGUGAUUUCAUGAUAUAAUUUUUUUCUUUUUUUUCUUUUUUUUCCUAUGCUUUUUUGGUGUUGUUUGGGUUUUUUUUUUUAAAACUAAAUGGAAAAAAACAAAAAGGAGAAAGGAAACGUUUGGUGGUAGAUGGGAUUAUAUGAGUAAUACCAGGUUUUGUCUCUGAUACCAAACUGAUGCAGCGGAAGUUUAAUGUUCAAAAUAUUCCAUUGAUUCUAGAGAAUACCGGAACAAAAGAACAACUAAAUUCACGUUGAUUCAAAAGAAUACCGCGAAUUUAGGGAUUAAGACUCGUUGAUUCUGCAGAAUACCGAGAAUUAACUGUUCAAAUACUCACAAAGAGAUUUGAAAAUUGAAAUAUUAUUAAACUCAAAAUUCUCUCCUCAAAAGCUACAAAAGACACUUAUUUAUACUAAGUAAGACUUAUCCUAAUAUGAUUAGAAAACCUAUUUUAAUAAGACUUAUGCCUAAAUUAGGAAUAUUACCCAAAUAAGCAAUACCUAAACAAUAAGACUCUAAAUAGGAAACCAAAUUAAACUAGAAUACAAAUUAAUUAAAAUAUUUCUAAAUAUUAUACAUUUAAAUAUAAUUAAGAUUUCUUCAAUUUCAUGCUCUGCAUCAGAAGCUGAGCUCUUAUUUCAUCCAAAUGCCUACGUUUGUUUUUAUUCUUCAGUUACUUAUUUGAGCCACAAAAAGUGUAUACUUAGGACCACAAUAGUUCAUAUAUUAUUCUUUCUAUAAAUACUCUUGUUUUGGGCAGUUACAAAGGCGUAGAGUGGUAGAGGGCUACAGGCAUCGGGCACGGCUUGUUUGAGGUCUCAUGUUUCAAUUCCCAAAUGAGCCUCAGGAACACCCAGCUGCUUCCAUCAAACACUUGGCCAAGCAGCAUUAUUCAGCUACUUUUAACUCUUAUUAAGUCAUUUUAAGUGCUGCUGUUAAAUAGAGAAAUUUUAGAAUACAUUAGAGAUAAUACAACUAAUUAAUGUGUGUAUGGCAUGCGUAAUCGAACUCAAUAUAACCUCAACUUGAACGGUAGUUUUUAUUUUUCAAAAUAAAUACUUAUUAUUAUUAUUAUUUACUUAUUGUGUGCUUGAUAUAGUAAAUCUGAUUAUAUUUUAAAAUUUAUCCCGUUAAGGAAAUUACUAAGCAUCAAGCCACUAACAAUCUCUACCAGCAGUAUUUGAGUGAGAACGGUCCCUUAUCAAAAGAAAAAUCAAAUGCUUGAGUAAUACAUAAUUGAAACCAGCAUAGAACUUUUUUUAAGAGGUCUAUCCAGUUAUUAUUUUUUUUUAUAAUUUUUAAUUUUUACUUUUCUUGGGAUAUAUGGACCAUGGCCUCCAGGGAAUACCGGCAACUUUAAAAAAUAAAUUAACGUUUGACUGGUUGUAAUACCCAACGUACUAGAAAACAACAAUACGAAUCGCACAUUUACAAGUGUAAAAUCGCAGGGGAUCAUGUGGAAAUGUCAUGCGAAAUUAACGUGCAUAUUACAAAUUGUAUCUGUCAAUUUUUUGUGUUUUCGAAUCUUCGUGUGGAAAUGUCAACAUAUAUUCUUUCGCGCAAAUCUCGCUUUGCCCUUCUUUAAGAGGGAAAAGAUAUGGAGAAAUAUACACAUAUACGGUACAGCUAGAUUUAAAUUUUUAAUAUUCUCAAACUGCAUGCAUUGAGUUUUACUAUUGGCAGAAGCAGUACUUUUCAGAUACGGACGAGUUCAACAAUUAUAUUAAAAAUGCAAUAUAUGUGUUAUGUCUCUGCCCAUUUUUUCUAUUUAUGCGUUGUUUAUGUAUGCAUGUAUGGUGUACAACGUGGAUUCACAAACUUUAAAAAAUAUAUAUUAAAUAUGAAAUUAAUAUUAUACCACGUUUCUUGCAUGGCUAUUUAAAUAGAGGUUAAGUUAAAGAGAAGAUAUAUUUUUUAUCAUUCUGCCAUUUGAAGUAAGACCAAAAAGUCAUGAACUAUUGAGUAUAAAACAAAAACAGAGUACCAGUGAACAGUUUAGGCUAUAAUUUCUAUGUUUAAUUAGAAACUGUAAUUAUUUAUUGGAAAUUAUCGACUCAAAAAGGGAGGAAAAAAGUGUCCAAGCAUACAGCUAGCCUUCAUAAUAUCACAGCUAAUGUUCAUGAAAAAUUGAGAGUACAGGUGUCCUCGCUCGUUCUUUGAAAUUGUAAUGCAGAGCUUCCCAAGUCAUGAAAUUAAUUCUGUGAAAAGAUAAUUUAAUUUGAUAAGAUAAUCCUCAAAUGCUCUCUCAUUGAUGGUGAACCCUUACCCACAUGCAUACAAAGUAUCUAUGUCUUAGCUAUAGCAAAGAGUGAAUUUAAUUAUUAAUAACAUCUUAAUACUAUAAUCAAUCGACUAUUGAUCUUCUUAGUAUCAUAAUCAAUAACGUGAAAGGAAAAAAAAAAAACUGAAAAAGCAUGGAGGAGAAAAAGGGUAAAUGUUUGUCUAUCUAUCCACUUUUGAAGUUGGUGAUGGUUGUCGAAGCCAGCAAAAAUAAAUACAUACUCUAAAUAAAUUGUGUAUAGUGAUUGAGCAGGGUCGUGUCCACAGAGAUCGGUAAUUAUUUAAAUCCUUUUAAAAUUAAAAUGCAAAAUGGGGGAAUUGUUGACAAUAAUAAAAAUCAAAUUAAAAUAAUAAGAAUGCAAAUUAAAAUUGUAAUUCCAAUUGGGGAAAGCUUUGGUUGAAGGAAUUAACUUAGCUUGAUUCGACUACUGAUAAUUAAUUCAAAUAUAAAUCAUUAAUACUUAUGAAUAGACUGGUUAUAGCUACUGAGACCCUCUAAUAGUCAAUCUCUCCUUAACUAGUCGAUAAAUAAGGUACGACCAUUGGUUAUUUCCCUAAUCAAUAGACAACCCUAGAUACGAUCAUAGGAUUUAAUCAAUUGACAGCCUGAAAAAUCAGAGAGACCCAAAUCCUAAUCAACAAAAGCAUACGAUGGUUCAUUUAAAUUAGAUUGUUUAUUCUCAUAACACAACGCACUGCUAUGCUAUUUGUCACAAACAUUAAAAUCUUCAUACGAUAAAUCUUUUAAUUGACAAUAGAUUAAGUUGAUAAUUAAAUAGUGGCCAAUUAUCUAAUUAACAAACAUAAUCAUGACAAUAAUUUAGAGAAUAAAUAAAUACCCAAAAGCAAUAAAACAAUUAAAGCAUAAGAAAUAUCUCAUAGUAAUGACGAAUCAAAGCUUUAUUAACCUCCAACCAGAAUAAUAGGUUUAGUUCUUCAUAGAGAGAAAAGAAAAAUUUAGAUAUAAGGUUUUUGACAAUGGAUUCCCCCCUUUAAUUCUCUCCCCCCUAUUCUCCUCUAGAGUUCUUUUUGAAAUAGAAUACUAAUAUCUAAAAUAUUAUCUAAAUAUUAAAUUCGGAAUUACAAAAAUAACCAAAAAGACAAAACACGUUAAACUAAAAACCGUAGGUCCGUAGUUGACAGCACGCACCCACGUCUUAUCAACAAAGUUCUUCUGAAGCUCAUAGUUUCUCGAGGAAAACAAUCAUCCUAAAAAAAUCAUCUUGUAGCUCAAUUUUAGCACCAAUCAAUAGAAUUGCACCUACAGAAAUAAAACACAAGUAAAUCACUAUUAUUAAGUACAAAACAUUGAUAUUAAAGGAAGUAAACAAUGCAAAACUAGUGCAUAAAUUGCACUCUAACAGUUGGCUUGGGUUGUCCUUUAAGUACCUGAGUCAAAGAAGCAACAAAAACUAAUGAAAAAUUAAAAUGACCAAAAAUUCAUAAUCUAUAAAAAGGCAUUAAUUCGAUAGUGAAUGCACUCCAACUCCUAGCUAGCUAGCUCAUUAGAGAGUAUUGAAAUUAUUUCAUGAUGGGUAAAUUUGCCAGUUUCUUGAUUGUCCUCUUGAAUUAGGGCACUUUGCUCUUUUCUCUAGCUUGUGACUGCUACAACCCAACUCCUCCUUCACAAGUUUCAAAACCACCACCCCCACCACCAACUGUGAAACCCACUCCUGCUCCUCCAGUUGUAAAACCGCCGCCACCACCACCACCACCAACAGAACAACAAACUGGUCCAAUUGAUGCUCUCAAGCUUGGUGCAUGCGUCGAUGUUCUUGGUGGUUUAAUUCACAUUGGUCUUGGCCACAGCGCUAAGGAGAAAUGCUGCCCAUUGCUUCAAGGGCUAGCAGACUUGGAUGCUGCAAUAUGUCUUUGCACUGCCAUUAGAGUUAAUGCUCUGAAGCUCAUCAAUCUUCUCGUACCCAUCUCUUUACAAGUACUUGUGUCAACGACUGUGGCAAAUAUCCGCCAGCAGGAUUUGAGUGUCCUGCCUAACAAUUGGUGACGGCCCAUGCAUUCAAUUUGGGUGAAAGUAUACGGUUCUAAUUGACGAUAUUAAUAAUUGUAUGUUACUUGCUAGUUAAGUGAACGGUUCAAGUUAGUAGUACUUGAAGGCACAAGCACGUAAACAUAUGUCUUAUAUUCUUAUUCAACGGUGAUAUCUUAUUAUUUGUGAAACUAAUAUUGUAUAUUGUAAAAUCCGAAAAAGGAAAAAAAUUGUAUGCUGUGUGAAUAAGUAUUAUCUAUUGAUAACUUGUUUGGCAUUUUGUGUAUGGAGAGUGGCACUAAUUUAGUUCCUCUUCAAUUUUGAUUUUUCCACUUUAGCUUCUAAUAGAUUAUUAAUGAUGUUUAAACAUUUAUUAACCAAAUACAAUUUUGAAGGGUAAAAGGUUGCAUUUUAACAAAUAUAUUAACUAGUUUUAAUUUACAGAAGUUUCGGCUAAUUAAUUUGCAUAUGAAAAUCGUUCAUUUAUUCUUGAGAAGUGUAAUUUUCUACCGUUGUUUUUAACACCAAAAUGAAACGAGGUAUUAAAAAUCUAGCUAUUAAGGACUAAUGUGGUAAAAAUAAAGUUUAGCAUAGAUGAAAAAUAUCACUUCUUUUGUUUAUAAGUUGACGUUUCUCCUCUCUCUUUAAUUAUAUAUAUACAGCAUCAAUUUUUUUGUGGUUUGAAAUAACAUCUCAAGCCUUAUUUGACAUGAAUCAUUUCAUAUCCGACAUUAAAAUGUAAGUAUGUAACAUAAAAGAAUAUUUUUUUAGUUCUUAUAGCCUUUAUAUCAAUCUAAUGUGAUGUAUAUCUCAUAAGGCAGGAAUAAUUUUGCAAAUUAGCAAGUUACUAUUAUUCUUUAACAGUAAAUUUUAAACGUUAAAAUUGUUAAGUUAGAAACGUAAUGGGUAAUUUAAAAAUUAAAAAAAUAAAUGGUAAAAGUGAGAAAUUAAAAAAUUAAUUACGUUUAAGGAUUUUAUUCAAAAUUUCUUAUGAAUAUUAUCAGUUAAAUCAAAUAUAUUCAUUUUCCGGAUUUUAGAAAAUACAGUAUAUGUACAACAUCUGUUAUACAUUUAUUAAAAUUUACUUAACGACUAUAAUAUAAGAAGCGAAGUAGUUGUGGCAAUAUAAUUAUAUAUCUAUCAUUAGUGUAUUAAUAUAAGAAAGAAAGUAUUUUGAAUGAAUUGCAAGUUUAUUAACAAAAGUACAAAACGAUAAUGUGUAUAGUAUAAGUGAAACAAGAAACAAAGGAAGGGAGGCCUCUAGUAAAAGCAUCAUCCUAAAGUCAUCCUGUCACACUUAAAUUAAACUAAUUACAAUAAUACUAUGUUUACUAAGUUUAGAUAUUUAGUUGAGAUACUCACUGAUGUGUCACCAAUAAUUUAAUAUCAUAUAUAUGAUAUUAAUUAAUUUUAUUAUUAAUUAUUAAUAAAUUAUUUUACAAUCUACUUAACGGAUGAUGUGCAACGCCAUUAGGGCCUCAUUUAGGAUUACUUUUGCGAUGCUCAAAAGUGAUUGAAAAGGUAAAAGAUAAUUUUAAUGUAUGAUAGAUUUUUCCAAAAUUACUUUUGGCAAAAAGAUGGGACUAUUUGAACCUGUAAAAAUACUCUUUAAACCCAAUUUCAAAUAAAAAAAUAUAUAGUAUAACAAAACCCUUUUAUUAAAUUACUAUAAAAGACAUGAUAUUUACACCUAUUUAUAAAAGACAUGAUAUUUAUGCACAUUUAUCAUGUAUAAAAAAAUAUCUUUUAAAUCUAAAAAAGAUUAGCAGCUCAUAUAAACAUAUACGUUAGAAUUUAAUUAAUGGAAAUCAACCUACUUUAUCAUGCAAUCAUCCAUAUUUCAAAGAGAGACCCAAAAAAAAAAAAAUUCAGAACCCCAAAUGAAGAGAAUUUUAUGUUAAAAAAAAAAAAUUGAUCUUAGAGUCAAUCGUGGGAAGUAAAACAUUUGUUUUAAAAAAAAAAUCUACUUUAAAUUUAAAAACCAAAGAUCAAUUGUGGAACUUUUCUUCAUUAAUAAAAUAUUUCUUACUUUCCAAAGUGUAAGUGAUUGUCGUUAUUAAGAUUUCAUCGGAUAAUUUUGGUAAGAUUGGAAUUUGUGAAAAGAAAAUGAAGAAAGAUUAAGUUUGGUAUUUCUGAAAAAAGAUUUUAUUGUUGUUAAUAGAGAAGAAGAAAAAGAUGGCAGUGUAAAUGGGCAUUUAUAAAGCAUUAUUAAAACGAAAAAAAUGAUUUUUAAUUAAGGCUAAUUUAAGGAUUAUAGUAGGUUUAUAGAGUUAAAAUUUAAAUGAAUUAUUUUUUUGUCAUGGGUGCAUAGAGUAAACAUGUUUAGAGAGAAAUUUGUUGGGUUCAUAUAGUCUCAUCCUUGGCAAAAUUAGCCAAUUUUGAUUUUGAGAAUAACUUUUAUACUAGAAUUUUAAAGUACGGAAAAAUUUGGAAAAAUGCAUAAACUAUGCGGUUUAAUCAAUUUAAGUUUUAAACUUUUAAAACCUUAGGGUUUUAAAGUUUUCCUGAAUUUUUCCUGCACUUUAAGAUCCCGGAUCAUAUAAUAAUAAUAAUAAUAAUUAUUAUUAUUAUUAUUAUUAUUAUUAUUAUUAUUAUUAUUAUAUAUAUAUAUAUCUUUAUUAUUUAGGAAAUAAAAUCAUUAACUAUAAAGAAAUUAUUAUUAUUAUUACUAAUUAUAUUGAUAUAAUAAAAUAAAAAUAUAAAAUAUUUAUUUUAGUUAUCAAUUUAAUUUGUACACAAUAAAAAAAAAUUUCAUAUGCAAGUUUAUAAAUGUUUAAAUAUAUUUUAUUGAACAUAAUGUCCAAUUCAAUUAUUUACAUUUUUACAUUAGUUUAACAGUAACAUGUACCAAAUACAUAAAAUUACUUUUAAAACUCACAACACUUUUAAAAAUAAAAUUUAUCAAACAUUUAAUUAAUUAUCUUCAUAACUGAUUAUUUCUACAUCACAGUUAACAUUAAUUAUUUAAAAGGUGUAAUAUUAUGAAAUUAGCCCUAAGUAUCACAGUGGAAUAUUCAAAGUGUGUAAAUAUAUCAUCACUCAACUAAUUAAUGAUUAGGUGAAACACAGUUUUUAUCAACUUUUUGUAAAUUCCGAAGCUUCUCCUGUUAAGAGAAUUUUCUUAGAAUCUCAACAUGAAUAGAAUUUUCAUGUGAAAAUCAUUGGUUGAUUUAUUAUUCAUACGUCAACUAAGCUUGCAUAAAUCUCGCUUGUCCCAUCUUCAAAAAGGAUUUCUUCCGAAUUUUAGGACUAGUCAAAAUCGCACGAUCUUGCUAUCACAAAUUACGAAAUACAGCUAGAUUUAUUUAAUUUUCUCAAGUGCAUUCAUAUUUAAUAUUUCUAAUUUAGCACUGUCAGUGACAGAAGCAGUAUCUCUUAGAUUCAACUGAUGUGGAUAACUAUAUUAAAAUGCAAUGCAUACAUGAUUUGUAGAUCUUGUUAUGGAUUUAAUAGAGUGGUUUUCAAUUGAUUUUAUUUAAAUAAUCAGAUGGAUUCAGUCCUAAGAGAAAUAGGGUUAAAAAAUUAAUUUAAAUUUUACAUGCUUUCUAACCUUUAUAUAUAUAUAUAUAUGCCAAUUAAAUAUAAGUUGUGUUAAGUGUUAAAAUGAAGUAAAUCCAUUUUCAUCAUUCUGGCAUUUGAAGUAAAAGACCGUAAAGCCAUCACUAUGCAAACAAAGUAAUCAAAAAACUAAAAUAGUUUCCCUUAUUAAUGCAGAAGUUACAACUAUUACAUUUGGUAAUUGAGUUUAUUAAUGAAAGAAAUUACGUUUCAGACUGCAAAUAAUUCACUUAAUUAUCCCAAUAACUCAUUAGUAUUAUUAUAAUAAUCAAUCGAAUGUUCUUAGUAUCAUAAUGAAUCCCAUGUUUCAAGCAUGAAUGAAAAAACAAAUGGGAGUAUCUCUGUCUACAUCUCCGUUCAAUGGUGAGCUGGCUUGGGUUGCCCUUUGGGCCCUAAAGUCAACAAUCAACAAACAGUUAAAAAAUUAAAAUGAUCCCAAAUUCAUAACUCUCUCUAUAAAAGGGCAUUCAUUCAAUAGGGAAUGCAUUCCCAACUUAGCAAGCCAAGCUCUUUCGAGAGUUCUAUAAAAAAAUUUCAUCAUGGGAAAAUAUCAAUUAGCAAGUUCCUUUAUUCUAAUCUUGAACUUGGGCACUUUGCUUACAUCUCUAGCUUGUGACUGCUCAAAUAACCCUCCUCCUCCUCCUCCCCCUGCUUCUAAGACACCAAACUGUCCCCCACCGCCUUCUUCACCGAGCCCUAAAACGCCACCACCUCCUUCUCAGUUUGUGAAAUCGCCACCACCUCCGGUCGUGAAGUCGGCCCCUCCGCCUCCGCCUCCUGUUGCAAAGUCACCGCCACCUCCUCCACCGGUUGUCAAGUCAACCCCACCACCG